ACGAUUCAAAUUUACAAAUUAGCCUUUGCAUUUUGUAAGAUUUCCACCUGCGCUUCUUUGUUCAUCUUAUCCAGUGAAAGAGAAGGUGGAACGGGGACAGCGGCGGCUGGGCUCUCGUCGGCGCGGAAGGUGUCCGGCUCUCCCCUCUGCCUCCGGCCCUCUCGGCCUCUCCUCGGCCUCCGGCGUCCCCGGUCCCUCGAUCCUUUAUUCAAAAAAAAAACGCCUACAUCUUAUCCAGAUGCUGUCGGUCCUUGACCUGCCGUCCGUGCGGCACGGUGGCGUCCUUGUCGGCGGCGGAGACGGCAUCCUUGUCGGCGGCGGAGACGGCUACGGAUGCAGAGGAGGAUGAGAAGGCGUCCGACGUGCCUUGCGCGGGAGGACGGAGGACGCCUCGCCUGGGCGUGUGCUCGGUGAGGGGCGGCGCCCUUGCCGGCGUUGCCGGCGGCGGAGACGGCUUCUGCUGCGCGGCGGGCUGGAGCAUGGGGGGUAGUUGUCGGGCAACAUGAGGAGGCAGAGGCGGCCAAGGCAAUGAGGCACGGCGUCGGCUAGCCAAGGGGCGGCCGGAGCAGAGGACGUCCACUUCCCCAGUCUGCGCACUCAUCACGGCAAGGCUAAUUCGAGUUAGCAACUUGGAGUAAUCACGUUCUCUCUAAUACUGUGUGCAGACCUAUCAUGUUUUCUGAAUUUCUGCCUGCAGCCCAAGUGCUACCAUGUUCCCUGAUAAAUUUCUUACUCUGAAUUUUUAUGUGCUUCCAUGUUCUGUACAUGUACAUGUACUCUGAAAUUCAUUCUAUCUUGUGCAGUCAGUAUUGGGUGUAUACUCAUGACUUCCAAAGCGCCACUUGAUGUAAAAAAUCAUAUGCACAAUGCUGCAAGCUUGGCUAAAGGUGGAUCUUUUUGCGAUCCUAUAUAGCAUGUUGUUGGAUGUGGCCGGGGUUUUUGUUGGUAAUUGUUGCGGGAGCAAGCAAAGGAGCCUGGCUUGGUACAUAUGGGUUAAUUGUUCUUGAUCAAUUGUCGUGCGUUAAUUGUUAGGUCUGGUAACAUCCUGCUCCCCUGUCUGAUUUGGGUUGAAUUCAUGACCGUGGCCUUCUCCAACAGAAAUCAGUGGAGUGCCCGACCCGGAUUGAAUUUCGCUGCUAUAAGAAGGAAGGGUCCUUGGCCGAAAUCUCCAUCAGGUUGCGUACUUGGACCAGAAAAUCCAUCAAAUCCCGGAGUACUUGGACCAGAAAAGCAUCGUGUCGCCUUCAAGUUCGCCGGAGGAAGAAGUGCCGAGUUUGCCGGAGGUAGAAGAACAUCCGUCGAGCCGUCCAAUAUCGCCAAUGGCGGGCUACACCAGAGGUUUUUUUCGUGACUAAUAAUAAGGGUUGGAUGAAGCAAAUCAGACACACUUCUAAGGUUAGUCUCCUUGAUCUUUUUCUACUCACGUGAGCAACUAAUGUUUGCUUCUCUUCGGUCCAGGUCAUAAAACUGAGGGUUGUUACUAGCAAAUUGUGACUGUUUAAUUGACGCCGUGAUUUUUUCUAAAAGAAAAAAAAUUGAGAAUAUGAUGUGUUGUCCAUGUGAAUACUAAAAAUAUAUGUUUACGACGUUGAUGUUAACCAGUUAAUAUAUUUAUGCACACGGUACAACACAUAGUCAUUUUUCUAUAUGUGGUAAAAAACGUUUUACACAGGGCAAUCCCCCAACUGGGCCGACUCAUGCAGUAGGACAUCCUAUACUGUGCUCUAUGCGCUCUAGGAGAAGACGCAGCACGCCUGUUUGGGCCGGUCCAUGUCCAAGCGGCCUGUUUUUUUCUGCUUUCUUCUUUCUACUUUAAAUAAUUCUGGACUUCAAAAAGUUCUCAAAUUAAAAGAAAUGGGAAUUCUGAAAUAUUUUUUUAAAUAAAUCAUAAAAUAUUUGUGGCCUCAAAAAGUGUUCACAAUUUUCUAAAAAAUGUUUGCUUAUUCAAAAAAUGUUCGAAACUUUGAAAACAAAUGUUCCAUAAAUCAAAAAAUGUUCAUGAUUUUUUGAAAAGGUCAUGUAUGAAAAAUGUUAAUGAAAUUGAAUAAAAAUUUGCCAAUUUAAAAAAUGUUCAUGAAUGAACAAAUAUCUUAAAAAUUAAAAAAUCGUUUGUGACUUACAAAAUAGUUUAUUCAUGCAUAAAAUGUUCGCUGAUUCAAAAGAGAUUAUGCAUUUCAGAAAAUGUUCGUUAAGUAAAAAAUAUUCAUGAAUUUCAAAAGAAAUCCCACCAAUUUCCAAAACAAUGUUCAUCCACUCAAGAAAUGUUCGCCGAUUCAAGAAAUGUUUUUUAAAUGUUUGCAAAUUUUUAAAAAUGUUUGCAAAUAAUAUAAAAUAUUCAUGAAUUUGAAAAAUAUCCUUAAUUUUUGAAAUUGAUCAAAAAUUUGUAGAGUGUUCAUGAACUUGAAAAAUGACCACGGUUUCAAAUAUGUUUAUGCGUUUAAAAUGUGUUCAUGAUUUCACAAAAUUGAGAGUGGUAUUGUAUCUGGGUAAUGCAGCAAAAUGUGAUCAUAGCCAUUAAAGAUUAUAAAAAAAAAUUCCGUUGCAAAGCACGGGCCCUUUUGCUAGUAAUAAUAAAGUACGGAUUGAGUCUCUGGGUUCACCGUCGCGACGUUUUUCAAAAAACGUCUCUGUGAUUUAGGGUAAUACAACCCGCAGUCCACAAUUAAGUGAAAAACGUUUCGUUCGGCAUGUUUUUCAGAAAAACACCUCAUAUUUUACAUAAUCAGCCCGCAGUCCACGAUUAAGUGAAAAACGUUUCGUUCGGCAUGUUUUUCAGAAAAACACCUCAUAUUUUACAUAAUCAGCCCGCAGUCCAUCAACACCUCUUUCCUCCUGAGUUAGGUUCCGAGCGAGAUGGGGCCGCGAUCCAGACAACGCUGGGCGCGGCGGCGGCGAUCUCCGGCCAGAUCCGGUCGAGGAGUCGAGGCAGGUCCGGAUCCUGUUUAGGGGACGGUGUGGAGGCGAUCUACGAAGCGCGGGAGGAGGUCAGGCGGCGGGGCUUGAACUCCAAGUUCAUGGCGGCGGCGUUCCUCGCCGGUUCCGACCGAGAUGGGGAGCUCUGGCGGAGUCUCUCCAUGGAUAUGGUGGCCCUGCACCUGUGAGGGACAGAGGGGAGGAGAGGACGCGAGAAGCGGCGGGAAAGUUCUGGUGGUGCCCGUCUCCUGCAACAGCUCUCUUGAGUACGGUCAGAGAGAGAGAGCCGGGAGGAAGAAGGAAAGGAAGGAGACUUCAGGAAGGGGCGGCGGGAUCCUGCGGGGCUGGGUUGGAGCCCCGGUGGUAGCUUGCUCCGGUGGUGCUACUGCUGCUGCUGGACGACAGCCGAUGGGACAAGGCCUAGGUAAGAGGAAAAACAUGUGCUGCAUUGACACAUUUGAUGCAGAGUAGCCACUGUAAGUUCCUCUCCCUUCUCUAAUUAGUAUUGAGAUUCCAUUGAUAUUUGAUGGAGAGCAGCCACCAAAAGUUCCUCUUUUGAUGCACCGAAAACAGCUCUCUCUCUAAUUUAUUCUCAGCUACAGAAUGACAUGUAUCUAUGCUACUUACUAAUGUGAUGGAUAAUGCAUGUGGAUUGAUUCAUGAAUUAGCAAAAUAUUUCAUUUGAGAUGUGCUAGAGAACGGUUUUGAUCUAACUGAAUAAUACAAAGUAUUUUAGUUCUGAUGGUAAUAGACGAGCAACUUUAGUUGUAUUUGGUUUCAGUUUUUGUUUUCAGUAUAUGUUGGUCAGGAUUCAACUUUGUUUAUGUCCAUGUUUUGCUGGUAUAAUGCAUCACCAAGCUUUCUUUUUGUAUGAUGAUAUUGUGUAAAUCAGCAUAUGGAUGUGGAAAAUAUUCUUAGCGGCAUUAGCCUAGACAAGGAUGUUGAUGGUUAAUUGUUUACAUCCCUUAAACAUUGGUAAUGUUGCCCUUAGAAGCUGGAAACCUAUGAUUGUUUCUUGCGCUACAAUAUGGAUUUAUCUCAUGGAAAGCACGCGUGGUGAAAGAAAGGUAUUAGCCAAUCCUACAAGUUUUGGUUUAUUUUUCGGAUAGUCCUUUUUGACUGAUUAAUCAUGUGUGACGUUUCAUGCAGUGAUCUGUCCUAACCAGGAAGACAACACUGAGGGUGGCGGAUGUUUGCUAUGAGGUGGUGUAUGUACGUGCUACACCUCAUGGCCGUGGCCUGCUUCCUGCAAGCCAAUUUACUGCUUCUUCCGAGGUCAUAUAGUGAUGCUAUGGCACUGAGAAUCUGAAGGUUAGUAAUUCUAUUCUAUUCUUCUCUAUUAAGAACAGUGUUAUUUUUCAUGAUUUAGUGACUGCUGAGUGCUAAUAAAUUAAUUCAAUCAUAUUGGGCCAUCUGUUAUAGAGCUAAACGAACCAUCUGAAGUGGGAUGCAUUGCAUUUUCCCAACAGAAUUUACAGUAGCACCAAGAAGGGUUGUGUCCAUCAUCCUCAUCAUGUCCGAUCUAGGCCGCCGGAGCACCAAGUCGCUGGCCUAUUCUAACAAGUCCAGGCCCUCGAGGCAGCCCUUCUCGCCGUGGAAGGAGACCCCGAUCUGUAGGAACGUCGGGCAUGGUCCCGUAAUUAACAACAAGACUCUCCUCUGUCCAUCCGCAUAACUCCCAUGAAGAAAAAUCUCUAAACUCCAGUCACCACCUUUAUGUCGAUCUAAGCGGUGGAGAGUUUGGUAUGGUGGCAAAUCAAGCAACUGCAGAUGGAGUCAUUCCAUGUUACUGCAUUGAGUUAGCAUACGCGGCAUGGAUGAUAGAUCAAACCCAAGUGAUUUGGUUAUUUAGAACAAAAUCUAAGACUUGACCAAAUGAAAUUGGUAUUUUGUUGAACUGAACGACACACAUAUUGCCUAACCAUAAUUAUGUUACCUAUCACGACCUCAUGUGCUCCUGAAGCAAGCUGAUGUGUGUUGUGUGUACACGUUGUACACUGAAUUGUUCAUGCGAAAAGAUACAGCAGUAGAUACAAUCUACGCCAUGGAGCCGCUAGUGGGGCUCGAUGAGGACGAGCGCUAGAAGGAGGUGUGCAUGAUGCCCAAACGUGGCGUCGAGGCCUUCCACAUCCGCACCCAAGCCGCGUCACUACCAAGCUGCUACAAGCAUACAGGGCCUUCCGUGUUCAAGCUGAAAAGGCAAGAAGAUCUCAUUAUUAACAUGGAUAAAAAAGGUGGAACGUCUUCUUCAGUAGAAUUACACAAUGGUUGGCUGAAGCUUUGGAUUGCUAAAGUACCAAGAAAGGUAAAAAUCCAUCUUUGGUGUAUUUAUUUUCAGAGAAUUUAUGUUGGAGAUGAGCUUAAGAGAAGAAAGUAUAUAGAUAUGGUAAGUUGUUCUUACUGCUUCAAGGGGGAAGCAUUUAUCACUGCUUUUGGGGUUGUAUUUAUGUCAGAUUCCUGGAGGAAGCUGUUAGUAAUUUGUGAUUUCUCGUGAUCUAAAAUUGUCGAUCGGAAAUUUUCUUCAUCGAAGCCCAUUCCAAUCGCCAACAAUUCUGUUUGCACACUCAGGUUUGUGCUUUUCUAUGGUGAUUUAUUAAACAUACUUUGGCUUAUGAUCCCCUUUGACGUACACUUGUGCCCUCCACUACACAUUAUUUUCAGUUUGCCAAAUACUGUAGUAGGUAAUGAACUACAGAAAGCGGAUUGUUGAGUUUACCAAGCAUAAUGGCACACCUAAUUUUGGCAAAUCACCUGAAGAGUAUUUCAAGCAAAGAUGCGUUGAGAUUUUCACAUGACUAUAUGAGGUUACCAUAAACUCAUGUAUUGCCACAAUAGCUUCUUUUAAUGCAAUAGGGAAUUGUCUUUUUUUGUAUCAGGUAAAUAGUUCCUUUCUCACACUUUUUUCAGACCGAGAUCGUGUGCUGCUGCUGUGUGGUGUUCUAUUUCUGCUGUAUUCUUUUUGCUUUUUUGGGGGGCUUCUUCUCAUUCUUCUUUGGCACCUACGCUCUACUUGGGGAAACUUUGUACAUGGCAAUACAUAGAUUGGAAUUGAGAUUUGGAGCAAUUUUGUUCGUUUUCCUGUGUACCGAUGUUGCCAUUAUUUGUGCGAUGAUGCCAUUAUAUUGUACAAAGGGAAGAGACAGUUAGAGAGAUGGAUAGAAAUUACUAGCUACUGUAUUUGUGUUGUAAUUGUUUAUUAUUAAAGCUUAUUGUUUAUUGGUUGUUAUUGCAGAUUGUUGGGAUAUAAAGUCAAUUUUGAUUAUUUCAAACUA